AUUGAACGCUGGCGGCAUGCUUUACACAUGCAAGUCGAACGGUAACAGGUUAAGCUGACGAGUGGCGAACGGGUGAGUAAUGCAUCAGAACGUGCCCGGUCGUGGGGGAUAACGCAGCGAAAGUUGCGCUAAUACCGCAUACGAUCUGAGGAUGAAAGCGGGGGACCUUAAGGCCUCGCGCGAUCGGAGCGGCCGAUGUCAGAUUAGGUAGUUGGUGGGGUAAAGGCUCACCAAGCCAACGAUCUGUAGCUGGUCUGAGAGGACGACCAGCCACACUGGGACUGAGACACGGCCAAGACUCCUACGGGAGGCAGCAGUGGGGAAUUUUGGACAAUGGGCGAAAGCCUGAUCCAGCAAUGCCGCGUGCAGGAAGAAGGCCUUCGGGUUGUAAACUGCUUUUGUACGGAGCGAAAAGGUCUCCUCUAAUACAGGGGGCUCAUGACGGUACCGUAAGAAUAAGCACCGGCUAACUACGUGCCAGCCGCCGCUGUAA
rnacentral:rRNA from 1 species